rnacentral:rRNA from 1 species
GACGAACGCUGGCGGCGUGCCUAAUACAUGCAAGUAGAACGCUGAAGGAGGAGCUUGCUUCUCUGGAUGAGUUGCGAACGGGUGAGUAACGCGUAGGUAACCUGCCUGGUAGCGGGGGAUAACUAUUGGAAACGAUAGCUAAUACCGCAUAACAGUAGAUAUCGCAUGAUAUCUACUUGAAAGGUGCAAUUGCAUCACUACCAGAUGGACCUGCGUUGUAUUAGCUAGUUGGUGAGGUAACGGCUCACCAAGGCGACGAUACAUAGCCGACCUGAGAGGGUGAUCGGCCACACUGGGACUGAGACACGGCCCAGACUCCUACGGGAGGCAGCAGUAGGGAAUCUUCGGCAAUGGACGGAAGUCUGACCGAGCAACGCCGCGUGAGUGAAGAAGGUUUUCUGAUCGUAAAGCUCUGUUGUAAGAGAAGAACGAGUGUGAGAGUGGAAAGUUCACACUGUGACGGUAUCUUACCAGAAAGAGACGGCUAACUACGUG